rnacentral:rRNA from 1 species
GGGUUGUGAGGUUAAGCGACUAAGCGUACACGGUGGAUGCCCUGGCAGUCAGAGGCGAUGAAGGACGUGCUAAUCUGCGAUAAGCGCCGGUAAGGUGAUAUGAACCGUUAUAACCGGCGAUUUCCGAAUGGGGAAACCCAGUGUGAUUCGUCACACUAUCAUUAACUGAAUCCAUAGGUUAAUGAGGCGAACCGGGGGAACUGAAACAUCUAAGUACCCCGAGGAAAAGAAAUCAACCGAGAUUCCCCCAGUAGCGGCGAGCGAACGGGGAGGAGCCCAGAGCCUGAAUCAGCAUGUGUGUUAGUGGAAGCGUCUGGAAAGGCGCGCGAUACAGGGUGACAGCCCCGUACACAAAAGCGCAUGUGCUGUGAGCUCGAUGAGUAGGGCGGGACACGUGGUAUCCUGUCUGAAUAUGGGGGGACCAUCCUCCAAGGCUAAAUACUCCUGACUGACCGAUAGUGAACCAGUACCGUGAGGGAAAGGCGAAAAGAACCCCGGCGAGGGGAGUGAAAAAGAACCUGAAACCGUGUACGUACAAGCAGUGGGAGCACCCUUCGGGGUGUGACUGCGUACCUUUUGUAUAAUGGGUCAGCGACUUAUAUUCUGUA